GGGCUUACUUCAGCAGCACAUAUACUAAAAUUUAAACAAUCUAAAGAAAAUUAGCAUGAGCCAUGUGCAAAGAUGAGACACAAAUUCAUGAAGCAUUCCAUAUUUUU
rnacentral:snRNA from 1 species